rnacentral:rRNA from 1 species
ACUGGUGUACGGGUUGUGAUGCCAAUUGCAUUGCCCGGUAGCUAAGUGCGGAAGAGAUAACCGCUGAAAGCAUCUAAGCGGGAAACUUGCCUCGAGAUGAGUCUUCCCUGAUUCUUUAAGAAUCCUGAAGGAACGUUUGAGACUAAGACGUUGAUAGGCUGGGUGUGUAAGCGCAGCGAUGCGUUGAGCUGACCAGUACUAAUGAACCGUGAGGCUUAACCUG